CAUUAUCGAAAACGCAAAAGUCAUAAUGAUGCAGAAGAUAUUAUACUUGCUCGUAGCCAUGGUGAUUAUUCAGUUAGUAACUGCUCAGGAUAGGGGAGGAGCCAAGGGCUGGCCCAUAAUACCAGUAGAACAUAUUAAGAUACUUGAAUCAUGAUAACAAGCUGUUUUAAUUCUUGUAUCUAUUUCAAAACUGAAUAAAUAAUCUUA